ACCCCGUGGUGCCGCAGUGUCCUGGCCGCCUUGUGACCGUUACAAUGGGCAUGUUGGUCCACGUGCAGAUGCCCACUGUCACGUUCACUGGGCGGACACGGCGCUCACUCGCCGACCAGGUG
rnacentral:precursor_RNA from 14 species